AACCUAGCACACCUGCGGUGUGUACCUGCGGAGGGAUCAUUACCUAUUUGGCCUUUGUGGCUACGCUCGGGGGGCCUUUGGUCCCCGUCUGCACCCUUGUCCUUGCGCACUCAUGUUUCCUCGGUGGGCUUGCCUGCCGCUAGGACAACCUAAACUCUUGAAUUUUCAAUCAGCGUCUGAUAACAAUAAUAUUUACAACUUUUAACAAUGGAUCU
rnacentral:misc_RNA from 1 species